AACGAACGCUGGCGGCAGGCUUAACACAUGCAAGUCGAGCGCCCCGCAAGGGGAGCGGCAGACGGGUGAGUAACGCGUGGGAAUCUACCCAUCUCUACGGAAUAACGCAUGGAAACGUGUGCUAAUACCGUAUACGUCCUUCGGGAGAAAGAUUUAUCGGAGAUGGAUGAGCCCGCGUUGGAUUAGCUGGUUGGGGGGGUAAAGGCCUACCAAGGCGACGAUCCAUAGCUGGUCUGAGAGGAUGAUCAGCCACACUGGGACUGAGACACGGCCCAGACUCCUACGGGAGGCAGCAGUGGGGAAUAUUGGACAAUGGGCGCAAGCCUGAUCCAGCCAUGCCGCGUGAGUGAUGAAGGCCCUAGGGUUGUAAAGCUCUUUCACCGGUGAAGAUAAUGACGGUAACCGGAGAAGAAGCCCCGGCUAACUUCGUGCCAGCCGCCGCGGUAAUAC
rnacentral:rRNA from 1 species